rnacentral:rRNA from 1 species
AUGAUUGAAAACCUCUGCCCAAUUCUUUCAUGGAACAUCCGAGGAUUGAACUUGCCUGCAAGGAGAGCUACCGUUGCUGAAGUUGAUGUCUCCCAUCGCCUUGGCAUUCUCUGUCUCCAGGAAACAAAAAUCUCAACCUGGACUGCACAUUUAGCCAGAGAAGUUGGAGGUGCCAGGCUUAGAGACUGCGUCGUGCUACCUGCUUUUGACACUAGAGGUGGUGUGGCAAUCUUAUGGGAUCCUGAUGUUGUGGAAAUCACCUCCCAUGCCAUUGGGCAGUUUGCAAUAACAGCGCAAGCCAGGUUAAAAGCAUCAGGCAAAACUUUCUAG